ACUUAUCAGACCCUCAAAAAGAUCUCAACGACUCCGAGGCAUAGCUAACUUACAAGACUCCUACAAAGCCCGAGUCAUUCGAGAAGAGGGGGAGACCCAUAGAAAAUCUCCAAAGGGAUAACUAAUUAAACCUUCAAAAGACCGUCGAAAGUGUAAGAUGCCGCAGGCACAAGCUUGCCGCUGGCACAUAUUGCCUCUCAUGCAAAGAUGAGAAGUGCUAGAUACCGCAGGCACA
rnacentral:lncRNA from 1 species